GACGAACGCUGGCGGCGUGCCUAAUGCAUGCAAGUAGAACGCUGAAGAGAGGAGCUUGCUCUUCUUGGAUGAGUUGCGAACGGGUGAGUAACGCGUAGGUAACCUGCCUUGUAGCGGGGGAUAACUAUUGGAAACGAUAGCUAAUACCGCAUAACAAUGGAUGACACAUGUCAUUUAUUUGAAAGGGGCAAUUGCUCCACUACAAGAUGGACCUGCGUUGUAUUAGCUAGUAGGUGAGGUAACGGCUCACCUAGGCGACGAUACAUAGCCGACCUGAGAGGGUGAUCGGCCACACUGGGACUGAGACACGGCCCAGACUCCUACGGGAGGCAGCAGUAGGGAAUCUUCGGCAAUGGGGGCAACCCUGACCGAGCAACGCCGCGUGAGUGAAGAAGGUUUUCGGAUCGUAAAGCUCUGUUGUAAGUCAAGAACGAGUGUGAGAGUGGAAAGUUCACACUGUGACGGUAGCUUACCAGAAAGGGACGGCUAACUACGUGCCAGCAGCCGCGGUAAUACGUAGGUCCCGAGCGUUGUCCGGAUUUAUUGGGCGUAAAGCGAGCGCAGGCGGUUUGAUAAGUCUGAAGUUAAAGGCUGUGGCUCAACCAUAGUUCGCUUUGGAAACUGUCAAACUUGAGUGCAGAAGGGGAGAGUGGAAUUCCAUGUGUAGCGGUGAAAUGCGUAGAUAUAUGGAGGAACACCGGUGGCGAAAGCGGCUCUCUGGUCUGUAACUGACGCUGAGGCUCGAAAGCGUGGGGAGCGAACAGGAUUAGAUACCCUGGUAGUCCACGCCGUAAACGAUGAGUGCUAGGUGUUGGAUCCUUUCCGGGAUUCAGUGCCGCAGCUAACGCAUUAAGCACUCCGCCUGGGGAGUACGACCGCAAGGUUGAAACUCAAAGGAAUUGACGGGGGCCCGCACAAGCGGUGGAGCAUGUGGUUUAAUUCGAAGCAACGCGAAGAACCUUACCAGGUCUUGACAUCCCGAUGCUAUUUCUAGAGAUAGAAAGUUACUUCGGUACAUCGGUGACAGGUGGUGCAUGGUUGUCGUCAGCUCGUGUCGUGAGAUGUUGGGUUAAGUCCCGCAACGAGCGCAACCCCUAUUGUUAGUUGCCAUCAUUCAGUUGGGCACUCUAGCGAGACUGCCGGUAAUAAACCGGAGGAAGGUGGGGAUGACGUCAAAUCAUCAUGCCCCUUAUGACCUGGGCUACACACGUGCUACAAUGGUUGGUACAACGAGUUGCGAGUCGGUGACGGCAAGCUAAUCUCUUAAAGCCAAUCUCAGUUCGGAUUGUAGGCUGCAACUCGCCUACAUGAAGUCGGAAUCGCUAGUAAUCGCGGGUCAGCACGCCGCGGUGAAUACGUUCCCGGGCCU
rnacentral:rRNA from 1 species